AAUCGAAGCAGUGAACUUAAGCCCCAGUAAACGGCGGCCGUAACUAUAACGGUCCUAAGGUAGCGAAAUUCCUUGUCGGGUAAGUUCCGACCCGCACGAAAGGCGUAACGAUUUGGGCACUGUCUCAACAACAGACUCGGUGAAAUUGGAAUUCCGGUGAAGAUGCCGGAUACCUGCGACAGGACGGAAAGACCCCAUGGAGCUUUACUGUAGCUUGACAUUGGGUCUUGGUACUACAUGUACAGGAUAGGUGGGAGGCUUUGAAACCAGGACGCCAGUUUUGGCGGAGCCAUCCUUGGGAUACCACCCUUGUAGUACUGGGACUCUAACCAUAGGCCAUGAAUCUGGUCUUGGGACACUGUCAGGUGGGCAGUUUGACUGGGGCGGUCGCCUCCCAAAAGG
rnacentral:rRNA from 1 species